UACGUAGGGGGCAAGCGUUGUCCGGAUUUAUUGGGCGUAAAGCGCUCGCAGGUGGUCCGUUGCGUCGGGCGUGAAAGACCCCGGCUCAACUGGGGGAUGUCGUGCGAUACGGGCGGACUGGAGGCCAGUAGGGGGAUGCGGAAUUCCGGGUGUAGUGGUGGAAUGCGUAGAGAUCCGGAGGAACACCAGCGGCGAAGGCGGCAUCCUGGACUGGUCCUGACACUCAGGAGCGAAAGCGUGGGGAGCGAUCCGG
rnacentral:rRNA from 1 species